UACCAGCUUAUAUUAUCGAACAUGGAUAGUAACGCACAGAAAAAUUAUUUAAUUUGUAUAAUGCAUAAAAGAAAUUUAGAUGAUUCCUUGCUUCUGACAUCAUAAACCAAUAUGACUGCAAUCAGUUAAAAAGAGUCUUAAUGAUAUUUGUAUCAACUAACAACAAAUGUUUUGCAAGUAAAGACAGUAUAGUAUAGUAUUUCUUUUUUUUUAGUUUAGUAUUUUUUUCCACAUAAUAUUUUUAUUUAUGUUUUUGUAGCUGAAGAAAGUGAUGAUGAUAAUGUUAUGAAUUACGAAGAAUGUAUAUUAUGGCUAAAAAAUAAUUCUAGACAAUGGCAGACAGUGACUGAGUACUGGUCUUUGACUUCGAAAAAACGAUUGAAAGUUCUUCAAACUAAUAAUAAUCAGUCUUGUCACGAAUACAUGAUUCAGUUUCCAGCCCUUUCUGAUCCUUUAGGCUACAUACUAAUAAUUAUUCCGCUACCGCCGAUACUUCGCUUACGUUCACGCUGCUUUAUAUUUAUUCCACGCCGCUUCAAGAACUGGAGAAAGAUUUCGAAACAUUAUAUCCAGAUCGUAAUUUAAAAUUAUAUGUUGCUUGGCAAAAAAUAUCAAACUUUGUAAUCAAUAAGGUGACAUCUAAAUUAAAGAAUCGUUUUGAUGAUGUCUUUACACGAGAUGGUGAGAAAAUUGUUAAACUUUAUUCUUGAUUCCUUAUUUGUUCCCUGUGAAUACGAUAAGAAACGGCAAAGCAUGUAAUUGGAGACCCUCUAGAAAAGAAUCUGAAGAAGGAUUUCUUCUGCACGUAAACACAAUCGCAGAUCUUGAAACAAGAUUGCAGGAACGAACAGCAAAAUUACAAGCAUUUGGUCAGCCCUUACAACCUAUUGUAGUGAUAAUAGGUCCUUCUUUCGACGAAAUCAAGCAAUGUUUUGUUGUCAUCAAUACAUUCAGAUAUGAAGUGGAAACACCAUUAAAAGCCGUGGACUUAGUCUUCAAAUCAUGUAACGCUUUAAACAUUCGAUAUCCCUUAGAAGUAGGGCAGCUAUUUAUGUUUUUGCAAAGAGCUAUAUAUGAAUUUGAAACUUUGUGGGAUAAACAUAAAAAUUCGCAGCUUAGUUCUGCUGUUUUGACAACAAUUCAAGAAUAUAAAUCAUUAGAAUCUUAAUCACUCUAUUACAAAAAAUACACACUUGCAUCAUGCCCACUUGUUUUAUUUGCAAACAAACUGUACAUUCUGUAAACAGUUUAUUAACGCAUUUUAACGUUAAACAUUAUGUUAAUUCAUGUACUGUAUUUAAAUGCGGCGAAAAUGGGUGCAUUAGAGAAUGGUCCUCAUGGAAUUCAUUAUGAAGACAUUUGCUUGGGUCAAAUCAUAAUUUUCCUUUGUGGCCUGUUGCUACACAGAAUGCUUAUAUGCAAUCUGUGCAAUCUACUAACAUAGAAGUGAUCAGUAAAUCUAUAAUUUGCCAUAAAAAUACAAAUAUUGAAACAGUCUCACCAGAAGUUACUAAUGAUAAGGGUUUAUCGAUAACUCCUACUGAAUUUAAAUCUCUCAUAAGAAAUUGUUGUGAUGCUUUUGUUGCAAAAUUAUACAAUAGAUCUUCCAUUCCACGGAAUCACAUUCAAGCUAUUAUCGAGGAUAACAGAUUAUUUUUAACAAGUCAUAUUUCUCUUUUAAAAGAAAAGAUUCUUUCACAGUUGAAUGCACUUAAUUCUGAUAAUCAAAUAAUACAAGAUAUCACAUCAAUGUUUGAUACAAUAGAAAUCUUUUCAUCAUCUUAGAAACGAAUAUCAACGUAUGGAAUAUUUGAUAUCUUGCGGUAAUUAUAUAGUUCCUGUAGAAUAUUAUAUAGGUAAAAAAAGUUCGUAAAAAUACUGGAACAUGUAUUGUGGAACAUGUGAAAGAUAUUUGCGGUUAUUUCAUACCUUUAAGACAAAUGUUACAAAAAUUUUUUGAAUUGCCCGACGUUUUUACCGCCACAAUGUAUUAUAUUAAUUCGCUGAAAGAUUCAGAUACCAUUACGAAUUUUGUUCAAUCUAAACUUUGGCGUGAGAAAAAAAAAGUUUCGAAGAUGAUGCUAUUGUUUUCCCAUUGUUUGUGUAUUAUGAUGAUUGGGAAGUGAACAAUCCAUUAGGAUCUCACAGUACUUCUCUUGGAGGAGUAUAUUAUUAAAUACCAUGUUUGCCGCCUGAAUGUGUAUCUCGAUUGGAAAAUAUCUUUUUAGCUCUCUUGUUUAACACAGAAGACCGUAAAGAAUUUGGAAAUAAACAAACAUUUGCACCUUUAAUUGAGGAAUUGAAUUUUUUAGAACAGGUCGGAAUAACAAUUACUGUUAAUGGGAAUCUUCAUAAAAUUUAUUUUGUGCUAGGUUUACUAUUGGGCGAUAACUUAGGCCUUCACACCAUGUGUGGAUUUGUUGAAAGUUUUCGAGCAAACUAUACAUGUAGAUUUUGCAAAAUUCAUCGUACUAUGUCUCAGACUACUUGCCUUGAAGAUGAAUCUAUUUUUAGAACACAUGCGUCAUAUAAUAUAGACUUAGAUUUAGCAAACAGUUCACUUAGUGGAAUCAAAGAGGAGUAUGUCUUUAAUGCAAUCACUUCAUUUCAUGUUAUAGACAAUGCUUAUGUUGAUAUCAUGCAUGAUGUUCUAGAAGGUAUUGCUCAUUACGAUAUGAUUCCAAUAACAAAUCAUUUUAUUCAGAUUGGUGAUUUUACUUUGUCAGGUCUCAAUUAUAGCCUACAAAUGUUCGAUUAUGGUCCAAAUGUACAAAACAAACCAUCUUGUAUUGCAAAUGAUUUUGCAACAAAAAGCAAGUUUAAAAUGACAGCCUCAGAAAUGUUAAAUUUUGUCAACUUUUUGGAGUAAUUAUUGGACAUAAUGUAAAUCAUAUAAUGAUCCAUUUUGGAAAUUGUACUUAUUG